rnacentral:rRNA from 1 species
CCUACGGGAUGCAGCAGUAGGGAAUAUUGGUAAUCUGCGAAAGCGGGAACCAGCAACGCCGCGUGUGCGAAGAAGGCCUUCGGGUUGUAAAGCACUUUUCGGGAGGAAGAGGAAGGACUGUACUCCCGGAAUAAGUCUCGGCUAACUACGUGCCAGCAGCCGCGGUAAUACGUAGGAGGCAAACGUUAUCCGGAUUUACUGGGCGUAAAGCGCGUGCAGGCGGUUUGAUAAGUUGGAUGUGAAAGCUCCCGGCUCAACUGGGAGAGGUCAUUCAAUACUGUCAGACUUGAGGAUGGUAGAG